GACGAACGCUGGCGGCGUGCUUAACACAUGCAAGUCGAACGGAAAGGCCCUGCUUUUGUGGGGUGCUCGAGUGGCGAACGGGUGAGUAACACGUGAGUAACCUGCCCUUGACUUUGGGAUAACUUCAGGAAACUGGGGCUAAUACCGGAUAGGAGCUCCUGCUGCAUGGUGGGGGUUGGAAAGUUUCGGCGGUUGGGGAUGGACUCGCGGCUUAUCAGCUUGUUGGUGGGGUAGUGGCUUACCAAGGCUUUGACGGGUAGCCGGCCUGAGAGGGUGACCGGCCACGUUGGGACUGAGAUACGGCCCAGACUCCUACGGGAGGCAGCAGUGGAGAAUAUUGCACAGGGGGCGGAAGCCUGAUGCAGCAACGCCGCGUGCGGGAUGACGGCCUUCGGGUUGUAAACCGCUGUCGCCUGUGACGAAGCGUGAGUGACGGUAAUGGGUAAAGAAGCACCGGCUAACUACGUG
rnacentral:rRNA from 1 species